rnacentral:rRNA from 1 species
AGCAGUCGCCGCGGGAAUACGUAGGUGGCAAGCGUUGUCCGGAAUUAUUGGGCGUAAAGGGCUCGCAGGCGGUUUCUUAAGUCUGAUGUGAAAGCCCCCGGCUCAACCGGGGAGGGUCAUUGGAAACUGGGAAACUUGAGUGCAGAAGAGGAGAGUGGAAUUCCACGUGUAGCGGUGAAAUGCGUAGAGAUGUGGAGGAACACCAGUGGCGAAGGCGACUCUCUGGUCUGUAACUGACGCUGAGGAGCGAAAGCGUGGGGAGCGAACAGGAUUAGAUACCCCAGUAGUCCCUGUCUCUUAUCA